UCCAAAGUGCCCAGGAGCCGGCCUGGGUUUUUCCGGCUGUGCCGUCCGCGCUUUUGUCCCGCCGGCGGCCGGGCUCCCGCGGCGCCGCCACAGCCAUGUCACAUUUGAAGACGAGGGGCACUGAGGAUGAGGAAUCAACUGAAAAGUAUGAAAAUAUUGGAAAUACAGAAUGUGUGUGGCCAAAAGUGGAAGGUCUUCACAAGGAUCAUAUGCAGGAAUCAAAGGUUGGUGAAACUUGUGAUUGGGAUAGCAAGGUAGAGAAUCAGAUGGACAAGCCUGAGGGAAAAAGAAUGAAGGAAGACAAAAGUGGCAUCAGGGAAAAGAUUGGCAAAGGCAAGAAUACAACAAAUAUAAAGACAGAACAAGAAGAUGAGGCAUCUGAGAAAAGCUUACUUCUGAGCUCAAAACAUGUUACACACCAGACUGUCCAUUUAGGACAGAAAAGCAGUGAACAAGGCAAAUGUGUGGAGAGCAUUAAUGGAAACUUUCAUCCCAGUCUGCAGAAAACCAGUGCUGUUAAGAAAUCACAUAAAUGUGAUGACUGUGGGAAAUCCUUCAAAUAUAAUUCCCGACUUGUUCAACAUAAAAUUAUGCAUACUGGUGAAAAACGCUAUGAGUGCGAUGACUGUGGCGGGACUUUUCGGAGCAGCUCUAGCCUUCGAGUCCACAAGCGGAUCCAUACUGGGGAGAAGCCGUACAAGUGUGAGGAAUGUGGGAAAGCCUACAUGUCCUACUCCAGCCUUAUAAACCACAAGAGCACCCAUUCUGGGGAAAAGAACUGUAAGUGUGAUGAGUGUGGAAAAUCCUUCAAUUAUAGCUCUGUUUUGGACCAACAUAAGAGGAUCCACACUGGGGAGAAGCCCUAUGAAUGUGGUGAGUGUGGAAAGGCCUUCAGGAACAGCUCUGGUCUCAGAGUCCACAAAAGGAUCCACACAGGUGAGAAGCCCUAUGAAUGUGACAUCUGUGGGAAAACCUUCAGUAAUAGCUCUGGCCUUAGAGUGCACAAAAGGAUUCACACAGGGGAGAAGCCCUAUGAAUGUGAUGAGUGUGGGAAGGCUUUCAUUACUUGCAGAACACUUCUAAAUCAUAAAAGCAUCCACUUUGGAGAUAAACCUUAUAAAUGUGAUGAGUGUGAAAAAUCAUUUAAUUAUAGCUCUCUCCUCAUUCAGCAUAAAGUCAUCCACACCGGAGAGAAACCUUAUGAAUGUGAUGAAUGUGGGAAGGCCUUUAGAAACAGCUCAGGUCUUAUAGUGCAUAAAAGGAUCCACACAGGAGAGAAACCUUACAAAUGUGAUGUCUGUGGCAAAGCAUUCAGCUAUAGCUCAGGCCUUGCAGUCCAUAAAAGCAUUCACCCUGGGAAGAAAGCCCAUGAAUGUAAGGAGUGUGGAAAAUCAUUCAGUUAUAACUCACUUCUUCUUCAACAUAAAACAAUUCACACUGGAGAGAGACCUUAUGUAUGUGAUGUGUGUGGAAAAACUUUCAGAAACAAUUCAGGACUCAAAGUCCACAGGCGGCUCCAUACUGGGGAAAAACCAUAUAAGUGUGAUGUGUGUGGAAAAGCCUAUAUCUCACGCUCUAGCCUUAAAAACCACAAAGGAAUCCAUCUUGGGGAGAAGCCCUAUAAAUGUAGUUAUUGUGAGAAAUCCUUCAAUUACAGCUCUGCCCUUGAACAGCAUAAAAGGAUUCAUACAAGGGAGAAACCCUUUGGGUGUGAUGAGUGUGGAAAAGCCUUCAGAAAUAACUCAGGCCUUAAAGUACAUAAACGAAUCCACACUGGGGAGAGACCUUACAAAUGUGAAGAAUGUGGGAAAGCCUACAUCUCACUCUCAAGCCUUAUAAAUCAUAAAAGUGUACACCCUGGGGAAAAGCCCUAUAAGUGUGAUGAGUGUGAAAAAGCCUUCAUCACAUACCGAACCCUUAUAAAUCACAAAAAAAUUCAUCUUGGGGAGAAGCCCUACAAAUGCGAUGUGUGUGAGAAAUCGUUUAAUUACACCUCACUCCUUUCUCAACACAGAAGGGUCCACACUAGAGAAAAACCCUAUGAAUGUGACAGGUGUGAGAAGGUCUUCAGAAACAACUCAAGCCUUAAAGUGCAUAAAAGAAUUCAUACUGGUGAGAAGCCCUAUGAAUGUGAUGUGUGUGGAAAAGCGUACAUCUCACACUCAAGCCUUAUUAACCAUAAAAGUACCCAUCCUGGCAAGACACCUUACACAUGCGAUGAAUGUGGAAAAGCUUUUUUCUCAAGCAGAACUCUUAUAAGCCAUAAAAGAGUCCAUCUUGGGGAGAAACCCUUCAAAUGUGUUGAGUGUGGAAAAUCUUUUAGUUACAGCUCUCUCCUUUCUCAACACAAGAGGAUCCAUACAGGGGAAAAACCCUAUGUGUGUGAUUGGUGUGGGAAGGCAUUCAGGAACAGCUCAGGCCUCACAGUGCAUAAAAGGAUCCACACAGGGCUCACUCUCGGUCGUGAAGAGCCAGAUAGUUGUGGCAAGAUGGCGUACCCUCCCUUCUCCUGAAAAGAGCAUGGAAGCUGAAAAGACUGCAGUUUAAAUAGACAGGACUGUUUUAAGAUGGGAUUUUGUCAUCGGAGGUGAACACCAAAGCAGCUGAGGUCCCAGACUUUGCUGAUGCUGCAGAGUUAGGCACCACUUCACCAGCCACAGAGAGUGAGAGAGAAGAAUGAUAGGGCCAGGCUCACCCAAGGGAACUUCAAAGAGUGACCUUGUUACCAAGCAUAGCAGUGGAAGAAAAAGAGAACAUCCCUGACAAAUUGUGGUCCCUGACCAACCCUUACAACCCAGGUAAACAACCUGAGGCCUGGAGGAAGCAAACAGAACUUCCUUGGAAGAGGACUCCUUCACUUUAGACCUCAGGUAACAUAAUUUUUCAGGGAAGGUAAUCAGCAAGCAGUCAAAGAUAGGUACAUGAAGAAAAGAGGCAGCAUGAACAGGAAACCAGCAGAAAAGAACAGACCCACAUAGACUUCACGUUAGAAUUACUGGGUUCAUUUGUGAAAACUGCUUAAAAUAUUUAAAGAUGUAUUUGGCAACAGAUUGUGAAACAGAAGGAGUGAGAAUUGGUGAGCUGGAAGAUAGGUUUGAAAUAGUUAUCCAGAAUGUAGCAUGGAGAUAGAGAAAUAUGGGAAAACACAGAAAGACAGGAAGGUCUCACUGGGAAGUUACAUAUUUAAUCACAGUCUUAGGAGGCAAAUAUGGAAGAAAAGGGGCAAAGGUAAUUAGGCUGAGGAUAUUCCAUAACUGAUGAAAAAUGUCUAUAGAUUUAAAAGCCCAAAGAGUAUAAGUUAGGAUAAAUUUAUAAAGUCAUAUCUACAUGCAUCAUAGUGCAGCUGAGGGAAAUCAAAGAAAAAAAUGAACAGCCAAAGAUUUAAAAAUUACCUUCAAGGGAACAGACUUCGCAACAGCAACAAUGGAAGCCAAAUGAGUGGAAUGAAAACGUUAGUCUAGAGGUAGAGAAUAACUGUGAGCCUAGAAUUUUGUACCCAGUGAAAAUAUCUAUUAUGAAUGAGGACAAAAUAAGCACAUUUUAAGAUAAUUUGUUUCAUUCAUCUCCUGCCAACGAUCACCGAAGGAAAUUUCUAAAGAAUGCACUUUAAUAUGGAAGAAAAGUGACCUCAGGUGGGGUUUUGAGAUGCAAAAAGUAAUGAAGAGCAAAGUGGGUGAGCAAAUGUAACUGAACAUUUUAUACCAAACUAAAAAUGUAAAGUUCUUGAGAUAGGCUUAAAGUACCAGGCAACAGUGAUAUAUGUCAGGAGAGAGUAAAAACGAUUGAGGUAUGAGGGUGAAGGUUUUGGUUACUCUCAUGAAUAUUGUAAAAUCUGGAGGAAUCAUAAAAAAUAGAACAUAUAGUUUCAAUAUCAGAAAAAAUAUUAAUCAAAGAGGUAAAAAAAAAAUGGUGCUACCAAAAAAAAAAGAUUGUAAAUCUUCCCCCCAAAACCAAUAUUUACAUUUAAUUUAAUUUUACUAAAUGACAAAGAUGUCAGACAGUGUCUUAGUCUGUUCCGGCUGCUGUAACAAAAUACCACAGAUUGGGUUGCAACAAAAUGUAUUUCUCGCAGUUCUGGGGGCUGGAAGUCCAAAGUGAUUGGAGAUCAUCAUUGUUGGAUGAAGUCUUUCUUCAGGGUUGCAGACUUCUCGUUGCAUCUUCACAUGGCAGAAGGGGCUGGGGAAUCCUGUGGGUCUCUUUUAUCAGAGCACUAGUCCCAUUCAUGAGGGCCCCACCCUGAUGGCCUAAUCACCUCCCAAAGGCCCCACCUCCUAACACUAUUACACUGUGCAUUAGGAUUCCAACCUGCGAAUUUGGGGGAAACACAAACAUACAGACCAUAGCACAUAGGGCAAAAGUACAAAACCCCACUAUAUUGCUGCUUGCAAGAGACUCAAAUAUGAGGACACAAAGUUUGAAAGUAAAAGAAUGGAAAGUUCCAUGACGCCAAUAGAAUACUGGUGUAGUUCUACUAAUAUUAGAGGGACUUAAAGGCACAAACCAUUCCUAGAGAUAAAGGGAGUUGUUACAUUAAGACAAAAGUUUCAGGGAAGAAAAAACACUGGGAAGAUAGAACAGUUGUAAAUUAGUAUCUAUCUAACAAAUAUGCAGAACUCAAAGUAGAAAUGUAAUAUCCACAAUCAUGAGAGAUUUUUUUGCACCUCUCUUUAAUUAAUAGGACAAGCAGACUACAAAUUGGUAAAGAUACAGACUUAAACAAUAAGAUUAACAAGCACUCCAACACAUAUGUAUGGAACACUGCAUCAGUGUAUCAAGGAUGCAUAUUUUUUGUCAAGAACACAUGAAACAUUUCCAAAAAUUUACCUACACAAUGUCAUGUGUCAAUUAUAUUUCAAAAAAGUUGGCGCAGGGCAGGGGGUGUGUGUGUGGCGAUUGUCAAAUAUGCUGGAUCAUAAAGUAAAUCAACAAAAUUUAAAUAAUUGAAAUUAAAUUAGAAAUUAAUAAUAAAUACCUAAAACAUGUCUAUUAUAUUCAGAAAUUUAUAAAUACAUUUUAAAAUCAUGUUUCAAAGAAGAACGUAUUUUCAACUGAAUGAUACUGAAAAUACGACAUAUGAAAACCAGUGGGAUAUUGCUUAGGCAGUGCUUAGAAAGAAAUUUAUAGCCUAGAAAGAUAUUUCAGAAAAUCAGAAAACCUGGUAAUUAAUCACCUAAGCAACAUCUCAAAAAGUAGAACAAUCAAAAUGAAUCCUAAUGAAAGUUAAAAUAAGGAAGUAAUAAAGAAAUUAACAAAACAGAAAAACAUAGAAAACAGAGCCAAAUGUCUGUGUAGUUUGGAAAACACUAGCAAAACUGACAAACCUCUGGUAAGACUGAUCAAGAAAAAAAGAGAAAGCCUGAAUAACCAAAGUCAGCAAUAAAAAGGGGGAAUACAGAGAACUGUACAUUUUUCUUCUCUGAACAUACACUGACCUCCUUGCUCUCUGCUAUUCUGAGAGAAUAGCUCACUCCUAAAUUCCUGAGUCAACAAUUCCAAGAACAGGAUGUAACAGGCAUUAUGAGCCAAAUCAGAAAGAAAUACAACUAAUUUCUGUAAGAUUGCAAUACCUACCUGACUAAAAACCACCAACACUGCAGUGUUCGGUGCUGCUUUUGUUCCUUUCAUUCUUCAUGUUUGGUGAGACAUUCCUUUGAAAACUUUCCCUGUUGCAACCAUUUGAAUAAAUUCCCUUGUAGUUGAAGUCUCUGCAAAUUUCUAAAGUUUUGUUACAAAUGCUACAGACAUUAAAACAAUAAGAUGUUGUAUCAUAAUUUUUUGCCAAUAAAUUAGAAAUUUUAUGUAAACUGAGAAAUUCCUAGGGUGGAAAAAACCAAAAUUUACUAAAGGUCUCACAGCUUAUGGAUGUGGGGAGUAUUGGGAAAGACUCUGAAAUGAGUUCAGUCCUUAUGGAAUUCACAGAAGCAGCAAGUGGAGGGAGGAACAAUAAAGCAGGAAGAGAAAACCUUAAUAAACAGUGAGUUUGGAAAAGGCUUCCAUAGGAGUGCACUCUCUGUUUCUAGGAGUGCACUCUCUAUUGUCUGAAAAUGAAAGCCUGAAAAAUAAUUUCAUCUGGGUUUAUGUACAGAGAUGCUAAGGGUGAAACGGUACAGAAUACCAGUCAUGCAAUGCAAGCAACUUUUCCCUCAUGAGAUUCAAAAAUGAGAAGCAGUCCACCUGAGAAUCAGUUAGCUGAGGACAGACAAUGGGGACCUGAAGUCUGUCUGCAUCAGGAUCUUAAGGUUUCCCAGGGAAUUCCCUGGGCAUGGGAGGUCUCUCCAUGCCUCUUCCCCAGCUUCAGCUGAGGGCCUUGGCUGGAGACAUUGACUCUUUUUUCCAUUGAGUGUUCCCAUUUAGACCUGGCAGUUCUUCUCAGGCUGUGAACAGUAUCAGUUAUGCUCAGGAAGGAGUUUGUGUGAAUCCCAUGCAGAGAAGUGACAUAGCAUAGUAGCCAAGAGUGCAGUCUCUUCGCCAUGAAGCCUGGGUUCAAAUAAGGACUCUUUCACUUAUUCACGGA